rnacentral:lncRNA from 1 species
UGGACAUCAUUAUCCAAAGUACCUGUAUGAAGACACGAAUUGGGUGUCAACACACUUUAUAUAGAGAGAUAUGAAAAAUUGUGGCAUAUAUGUGUAAUAAGAAUCAUAAUGCAAAAAAGUAUAUGUAUGAAGACAUGAAUUGGCAUGAACAUACUUUAUAUACAAUGAUAUAAAAAUGUGCUCUAUAUGUGUAAUAAGAAUUGUAAUGCAUUCAGCUGCU